UACAGAGGUGGCAAGCGUUGUUCGGAAUUACUGGGCGUAAAGGGCGCGUAGGCGGGAUGGCAAGUCGGUCGUGAAAUCCCUCGGCUCAACCGAGGAACGUCGAUCGAUACUGCUGUUCUUGAGGAUUGCAGAGGAGACUGGAAUUCCCGGUGUAGCGGUGAAAUGUGUAGAGAUCGGGAGGAACACCGGUGGCGAAGGCGGGUCUCUGGGCAAUUCCUGACGCUGAGGCGCGAAAGCGUGGGGAGCAAACGGGG
rnacentral:rRNA from 1 species